UGCAAAUCUGUGCUGCAGGCUUCCAGUUCGGGUGAGAUGAGUGUCACACACCACAGACCUCUCCCCCGACUACAGCUAAGAACCCAGACAGGGUACAUGGAGCAACCAUCUGAGCAGUCGGCAAAAUGAACCUCAGCAGGAGACUGGAGAAAGGAACCAGACCAAGUAUAGGAGCAACGCUGCUGUCUCCACAAGCCUCUGGACAGAAGUUGCAUUUUUACCUGCAGCCGCCAGGCAACUCAGGAGAGUCCUUGCUGCCCUAAAGAGCUAGGGUCCCAGAGCUGGUCCCAGACCUGGGGGAACCUCCAGGGUUCCCAGACCUCGGGAGUUAGGUGGGCGGGGGAACGGAUGACUAUCACUGCAUCUUCUCUCUCUCUUUGUCCUCUCUCUGCUUGGCCCUGGAAACAAACCCAACCACAGGAAAUAAAUGGCAGACUGGGGAGAGAAAAGCUUCAGCUUGCAAAGCUUCCCAGCCAAAGGACCAGGAAGGGAAGGGGUGGAGGCUCUGAAAGCUGGGAGGCGAUGUUUGGGGGGACGGACAAGCGGAAGCCCCUGGAGAAACGCACCCUAGACCACCGAGACUCACACCCCAGCUGUGCGCACCUGACCAGAGCCCCUGAGGGAGCACCCACUUAGAGAGCUUUGGAGGAAGACCGCCGCCAGUCACAGGCCGACCCCUGGAGGGCGCACGCACGGCACUUCGGAGGAGCACCUGCAGGGCUCCAGAAAGCUGAGCCAGCGCACGUGGCAGCACAGCCCAGGGAAGCCACCUCAGCACCUGAAGUCCCAACCUCAGCAGCUGGACUGCCUGACAUCAGAGAAACGGAAGUCCUAGUUACAGACCCUUCUGGCGAGGGGAUAGCAUUGCUUUGCAAUGUUUGCGGUGUGUGUGUUCAACACGUAGAACUGAAAUCCACCUCAAAAUCGUACCGUGUGUAAAAUUUGAGAAGUACUAAAGACAAGAAGAUAAACGUUUCAAACUGUGCGCUUUAA